UACAGAGGUCCCAACCGUUGUUCGGAUUUAUUGGGCGUAAAGGGUGCGUAGGCGGCGGGGCAAGUCAGGUGUGAAAUCUCGGGGCUCAACCCCGAAACUGCACUUGAUACUGCCUUGCUUGAGUACUGGAGAGGAGACUGGAAUUUACGGUGUAGCAGUGAAAUGCGUAGAUAUCGUAAGGAAGACCAGUGGCGAAGGCGAGUCUCUGGACAGUUACUGACGCUGAGGCACGAAGGCCAGGGGAGCAAACGGGG
rnacentral:rRNA from 1 species